rnacentral:rRNA from 1 species
UACAGAGGUCUCAAGCGUUGUUCGGAAUCACUGGGCGUAAAGGGUGCGUAGGCCGCACGGAAAGUCAGAGGUGAAAUCCCGGAGCUCAACUCCGGAAUUGCCUCCGAUACUCCCGUGCUUGAGGACUGGAGAGGAGUCUGGAAUUCACAGUGGAGCAGUGAAAUGCGUAGAUAUUGUGAGGAACACUAGUGGCGAAGGCGAGACUCUGGACAGUUCCUGACGCUGAGGCACGGAAGGCCCAGGGGAGCAAACGGG